rnacentral:lncRNA from 1 species
CUCUAACGUGACACUUCCUACGUCGUCCAUAGGCGCUCAGAGCCCGGGAAAAAACAGAAUGUCGUCAUUCCAGCCCCAGGCUGAAACACAUUAUCGCCUUUCUCAAGUGGCCGAUCAAGGGACUCUGGGCUUAGGCGCGUGACCCGACCGCCCCCGCCUUUGUGAUUUUUUCCUCUGUUUGCCAAAAAGGAGAUUCCCUGUCGGAAUAUUAUCGCUUUUCUACAAGAAAAAUGGCGUAAAAAUUGAUUUUAAACAGCGGUUGACAUGCUUCGAAGUACGGUAAUGGAAUAUUUCAAAAUUUUUUGUCACGAAUUGCGCCAUGCGCACGACCCUUCUUUACCAUUUCGGAUAGUGUCUGGAACGCACGAACAAAACGCCGCUAUUCGGAUAUAACGAUGGAUUAUUUUGGACCAAACCAACAUUUGUUAUUGAAGUAGCAGUCCUGGGAGUGCAUUCUGACGAAGACAACAAAAGGGGGAAGAUGGAGUGCAGGCCAGGGGAAGCUCGGGUGGGUUGCAGGAAACCAGGUGCGGAGGCUGAGGCUGGAGCGAGAGGGGUUGGAACAGGGUAAGCAGGUCCGGAGGGGGAAUUCAAGGGAGCAGUAGAGUGGGGUAACCAGGGCAGAGUAGCAGGAUGACGUGAUGUAGAACUGGAGACAGGAAGCGGAGUCAGGGCGGGCAGAAUGAGCAGAGAUUACGAUCUGCGCUUGGACCUUCUCACAGGUCUGAACUCCUGAGCAGUAGCUUGGAGUCUGGUAUGUCACUCUGGUUGACUUGGUUGUUGUCUGACAUCGAUCUGAUGGACCCGAGGACUGUGCUGGUUUGGUUGGAGUGUUUUGAUGCACUGGCAAGUCAUUUACAGGUAACUGGAGGUUCCUGGACAGCACACAAAGAGUGUUGUCUCCAGACUCUGACUGGAUGUUAUACACUGGACCCUCUCCAAUUCUCUCCACAACUCUAUGUACUGUCUUCUCUCAGUAAGCACAGAGUUUCCCGGGCCCACCUCUUUCCGAUAGGUUCCUCACAAGGACUCGAUCACGUUCACUGUUAUCAGAAGCGAUUUUGUAUGAGUCUUGCAUCUUGUUGCCCACUUCUCAACAAAUGUUUGUUGGGUUCUUGUCACUAUUUCUGGUUCGAGGUUGAACAGUAGGUCGAUAGGAAGGCGUGGGGCUCUGCCAUACAGGAGGAAAAAUGAGUACGGAAUUUGUCACAGAUCGCCCAUUUAGGUGCUAAAAACUCAAGUUUGCCAGAGUGGAGGUGGUAGUUUUUCUCUGCUGGAGUUAGCGUUCUGGACCCAUACCGAUUACACAUAGUCUCCCGUUCUGAUGUUGGUAAAGGACAGCCCCUAGAAUCUCAUUGGAAGCGUAAGUGUGGAGCAAAAAUGCUAAAUCACAG